AAAUUUAGCAUGUUGCGUCUCAAUCUGUACAGCCCCAUUGAAAACAACUGCAUGCGUCUACUCCUGCGCUCCCCUGUAAUGAGGUUUAGUAAUGUCAUGAUCUAGAUCAACUCAAUAAUGUCUGAAAUCCAUUAAUUCCUAGGUCAGUUGUUUGGCCUUAAUAUGUUUGCCUUGUCAUGAGUGUUAUAUGUCAGGUCUUUAUAACCAAUCUCGAUUAUUAGGCCUUAUAUGAUUGAUGUGAAAUGAAAUUGUUUGGAAUGGAUAUCUGGAAAGUAAACAAUUUUUUAUACUUUUCUUCCAAAUGAACAGCCUGCUGAUGGUGAUGUGCUGAUGUGCCCCUAGCAGUGAAUGCUUUCCUGUAACAUCUUAUGCUCUUUCUGGCCUACUACUGUGUUAUGGUUAUACUUCACGUGUGUAAAACUCUACUUUAUUAUCUUGGUACUUGCCCACAGAGGAUACAGACAUGGACACUGACUGAUUGGCCACGCCUCAAACUCCGUUAUUCAGCCUCUCCAUGUGCAAACUUUUCCUGAAGCACUAAAUUGGACUCAACACAAGUGACAGAUGUGAUGAACUGACAGCUGUUUGGCUCAUUUGAACCUGGGUGGAGUCACCUUUCAAAAACAUAUCAGUAUGGCUUCUUCUGUUUUCUUGUUUGAAAUGACAUUACCCAUGUUACUAUUUUGGACUAGCACCUUGUCAAAAAAAAAAAACAAACACACCCGGUAAUGUUUUAGUACCUUUACUGACACAAUCUUUGUCAAAAUCCAAAACAGUUGAACAACAAUAAAAAGACAAUAUAUAUCUGUA